AUACGUAGGUGGCGAGCGUUGUCCGGAAUUACUGGGUGUAAAGGGCGUGUAGGCGGGGAGACAAGUCAGAUGUGAAAUACCGAGGCUUAACUUCGGGGCUGCAUCUGAAACUGUUUUUCUUGAGUGUCGGAGAGGAAAGUGGAAUUCCCAGUGUAGCGGUGAAAUGCGUAGAUAUUGGGAGGAACACCAGUGGCGAAGGCGACUUUCUGGACGAUAACUGACGCUGAGGCGCGAAAGCGUGGGGAGCAAACAGGAUUAGAUACCCUGGUAGUCCACGCCGUAAACGAUGGAUACUAGGUGUAGGAGGUAUCGACCCCUUCUGUGCCGGAGUUAACACAAUAAGUAUCCCACCUGGGGAGUACGGCCGCAAGGUUGAA
rnacentral:rRNA from 1 species